AGUGCCAUCCUCGCCAGUGAUGCUGUCGCUGUGACGUUUGCAGACCACACUCUGGGAGUGAUGAGUUGGAGCAUCCCUAUUGCGGUUGCUUUAUCCUGUUACGGAGGUCUUAAUGCUUCCAUCAUUGCUGCAUCCAGGGAGCUUCUCUAUUGCUCACACCAUCUGGAGCUGCUUUGUGGUAAUGACCGUGUGGGGGUUCACGCCACUAUUCCAUGUGUCAGAUAAUGUGGUGUGCUGAGGAUUUUUGGGAGUGAUGAGAACCUACAUCCAGUGCUGAUGGGAAUUCAGAAGAUCUGAGAACUUAAAUUCCUGUUU